UAGGAAAUCCAGUUACCGUAUAUGUUAUCAAUUUCCCAUCUAACUAGCAUACUCGAUGCGUACUGAAUAACAGCUACAAACCUGACAGAAGAAACUAUAGGUUUUAUAGGAAGGAGAGGAUGGCUGAGAUCCCAGAGUCACCGUGAGAAGCACAGGUAAAUCAUGUCACUCUCCACUCGUCGUUCAGAUAACAUCGAUGGCUCCUGACUACCUUUUGAGGCCACCUCCUCCAGAGAUGCUAUUUUCACUUUUCCAACUAGGUUAAUAAAUUUUCCUUUUUCUGAAUGCCCA